rnacentral:rRNA from 1 species
UGGCUCAGGAUGAACGCUGGCGGCGUGCUUAACACAUGCAAGUCGAACGGUGAGGCAGGAGCUUGCUCUUGUGGAUCAGUGGCGAACGGGUGAGUAACACGUGAGCAACCUGCCCCUGACUCUGGGAUAAGCGCUGGAAACGGCGUCUAAUACUGGAUAUGUGACGUGACCGCAUGGUCUGCGUUUGGAAAGAUUUUUCGGUUGGGGAUGGGCUCGCGGCCUAUCAGCUUGUUGGUGAGGUAAUGGCUCACCAAGGCGUCGACGGGUAGCCGGCCUGAGAGGGUGACCGGCCACACUGGGACUGAGACACGGCCCAGACUCCUACGGGAGGCAGCAGUGGGGAAUAUUGCACAAUGGGCGAAAGCCUGAUGCAGCAACGCCGCGUGAGGGAUGACGGCCUUCGGGUUGUAAACCUCUUUUAGCAGGGAAGAAGCGAAAGUGACGGUACCUGCAGAAAAAGCGCCGGCUAACUACGUGCCAGCAGCCGCGGUAAUACGUAGGGCGCAAGCGUUAUCCGGAAUCAUUGGGCGUAAAGAGCUCGUAGGCGGUUUGUCGCGUCUGCUGUGAAAUCCCGAGGCUCAACCUCGGGCCUGCAGUGGGUACGGGCAGACUAGAGUGCGGUAGGGGAGAUUGGAAUUCCUGGUGUAGCGGUGGAAUGCGCAGAUAUCAGGAGGAACACCGAUGGCGAAGGCAGAUCUCUGGGCCGUAACUGACGCUGAGGAGCGAAAGGGUGGGGAGCAAACAGGCUUAGAUACCCUGGUAGUCCACCCCGUAAACGUUGGGAACUAGUUGUGGGGUCCAUUCCACGGAUUCCGUGACGCAGCUAACGCAUUAAGUUCCCCGCCUGGGGAGUACGGCCGCAAGGCUAAAACUCAAAGGAAUUGACGGGGACCCGCACAAGCGGCGGAGCAUGCGGAUUAAUUCGAUGCAACGCGAAGAACCUUACCAAGGCUUGACAUAUACGAGAACGGGCCAGAAAUGGUCAACUCUUUGGACACUCGUAAACAGGUGGUGCAUGGUUGUCGUCAGCUCGUGUCGUGAGAUGUUGGGUUAAGUCCCGCAACGAGCGCAACCCUCGUUCUAUGUUGCCAGCACGUAAUGGUGGGAACUCAUGGGAUACUGCCGGGGUCAACUCGGAGGAAGGUGGGGAUGACGUCAAAUCAUCAUGCCCCUUAUGUCUUGGGCUUCACGCAUGCUACAAUGGCCGGUACAAAGGGCUGCAAUACCGUGAGGUGGAGCGAAUCCCAAAAAGCCGGUCCCAGUUCGGAUUGAGGUCUGCAACUCGACCUCAUGAAGUCGGAGUCGCUAGUAAUCGCAGAUCAGCAACGCUGCGGUGAAUACGUUCCCGGGUCUUGUACACACCGCCCGUCAAGUCAUGAAAGUCGGUAACACCUGAAGCCGGUGGCCUAACCCUUGUGGAGGGAGCCGUCGAAGGUGGGAUCGGUAAUUAGGACUAAGUCGUAACAAGGUAGCCGUACCGGAAGGUGCGGCUGG